GUGGGGAAUAUUGGACAAUGGGCGAAAGCCUGAUCCAGCCAUGCCGCGUGUGUGAAGAAGGUCUUCGGAUUGUAAAGCACUUUAAGUUGGGUGGAAGGGCAGUAAGUUAAUACCUUGCUGUUUUGACGUUACCGACAGAAUAAGCACCGGCUAACUUCGUGCCAGCAGCCGCGGUAAUACGAAGGGUGCAAGCGUUAAUCGGAAUUACUGGGCGUAAAGCGCGCGUAGGUGGUUUUGUAAGUUGGAGGUGAAAUCCCCGGGCUCAACCUGGGAACUGCCUCCAAAACUGCAUGACUAGAGUACGGUAGAGGGUAGUGGAAUUUCCUGUGUAGCGGUGAAAUGCGUAGAUAUAGGAAGGAACACCAGUGGCGAAGGCGACUACCUGGACUGAUACUGACACUGAGGUGCGAAAGCGUGGGGAGCAAACAGGAUUAGAUACCCUAGUAGUCC
rnacentral:rRNA from 1 species